rfam:Salmo salar isolate Sally breed double haploid chromosome ssa05, whole genome shotgun sequence.
GCGGUCUAAGUUUGUAAGUCGCUCUGGAUAAGAGCGUCUGCUAAAUGACUUAAA